UCCUACGGGACGCAGCAGUCGGGAAUAUUGCACAAUGGGCGCAAGCCUGAUGCAGCGACGCCGCGUGCGGGAUGGAGGCCUUCGGGUUGUAAACCGCUUUUGUUCAAGGGCAAGGCACGGUCUUUGGCCGUGUUGAGUGGAUUGUUCGAAUAAGCACCGGCUAACUACGUGCCAGCAGCCGCGGUAAUACGUAGGGUGCAAGCGUUAUCCGGAUUUAUUGGGCGUAAAGGGCUCGUAGGCGGUUCGUCGCGUCCGGUGUGAAAGUCAAUCGCUGAACGGAGGAUCCGCGCCGGGAACGGUCGGGG
rnacentral:rRNA from 1 species